AGUGUUCUCCUUCGCUUUCUAUCAGCCUUUCUCCUUCUGACCUGACUCCCUAGUAGAUCGGCUCCUCCUUCAGAUCCGACUCCAAGUGAAUUCUAGGGCUAGGGUUUUCACUGUUCUCCCUCGAAUCUGUGGUUCACUCCUCCAUCGAAGCUCGUCGUCCCUCGAAUGUCGUCGACUUCUCCCUCGAAGCUCGUCGUCCCUCGAAUGUCGUCGUCGACUCCUCCCUCGAAGCUCGUCGUCGACUCCUCCCUCGAAGCUCGUCAUCCCUUGAAGCUCUUCGUCCCUCGAAAAUCGUCGUUUACUCCUCCCUCGACUGUCUUCGCUCUCGAGUUAUCACAAUAUCUGAUCUCAUGCCUUGCGGAUCUGUAAUCUCAGUCAGCUUCAUUUAAUUAUCAGAGAUAUGAGGAACUUAACAAUGAUAAUCGAUCUGUACCUCGAGAUACAAAAGAUGAUUCAUAUGUUCUCUGUAAAUCUCGUGGCGUAAGAUGCCAUGACUGCCCAUUUAAGCAUGUAUUCCCUCCCAAUGAAGCGAAGUCUGAGUUUACGAUGAAGAUCAUAAAAGCAUAUAAGAAUGUCUAUGGGUCUUUCGCUGCUGCGACAACUUAUGGCAAAAAACUAGAGCCAAAGGACAAGGUGGAUACUAUGAAGUAAAAAAGGCUGACAAAGAGAACAAAAGGCUGCUAUCAGAAGUUGAUCUUCUGGUGAUUAGGUACAAAGACCGGUAAUCGUUUAAUUUGAUAUUCUUUCCCACUCUGGUUGAUGUAUGUUCUAGUAAUGUAGUUUCUUGAAAACUCUAGAGAUCUGACUAUUUUCAUGCUCCUAAAAUGUAGGUUGAGCUUUAUACAAGACCGUAGUUUCAGCCAUUGGGAGUUUGCACUAAAGUUGGUUAAAGUUUAUAUUAGUUUGAAAGAGGAUCUAGUACUUUUAUCUUUUAUGUUCACUUUUUAUCUCUUUAAUUAAUUGUAUAUUAGCGGUCACCUUUUUUUUCUUUAUAUAAUCUUUUAUUUGUCUUGAUUACUUUGCAGAAAUCUGUGGCUGAAAAGAUUUCUGCAUCUGAUAUAAUCUCAGUGCACAUGAAAAUACUUUCAUUGAGUUAAUUCGUAGGCUUACUAUUUUUUCUGUAGUAUUCUUCUAUUAAGUUAAAUUGUACCUCCUUGUAAAAUUCUUUGAGUGGUUGCCGUAGUAAUUGUCUCAUUUCAGGUAGUUUUUAUGGGUUCAAACACCUCACCAGCUCCCAUGGUCCCACCGUACUUUCUUUUUGAUUGUGAACCUAACUCUGAGUAGAUAAAGAAGCAUGUGCAAUUGAUAGAAGAAGCACUGCUUGUGCAUCCUUUGUUGAUGGAGUAUUUGAAGAGAUUUGUUGUUAGUUUUCUAUGCUCGCUUGGGAUGUUUCAAGAAUCGUAUCGACAAGUUUUUGUUAUUUUUUAGCUUAAUCACUUUUGCAAGAUAUGACACUGCUUACCAUUAAGGAGAUCUUAAAGCCAUUAUCAGACGAGAAUGAUAAUGUAGAGAUCGGGGUUUCGUUUUAGUUUUUGACAGAGUUUUUUAAGCAGUGCAUUCUUCAUAAAAGUGUCAAUUACCUUAUUGACCUUAUAAUGUUGGAUAAUGUUGUAAGUAAAAACUGAAGGAGAUCGCCCUCCACAUUAUCCAACAAUAUAAGGUUAAUGAGGUAAUUGACACUUUUAUGAAGAAUGCACUGCUUAAAAAACUAUGUCAAAAACUGAAACGAAACCCUGGUCUCCACAUUACCCUUCUCGUCUGAUAAUGGCUUUAAGAUCUCCUUAAUGGUAAGCAACGCUGUAUCUUACGAAAGUGAUUAAGCUAAAAAAAUAGUAAAAACUUGUCGAUACGAUUCUUGAAACAUCCCAAGGGAGCAUAGAAAACUAAUAGCAAAUCUCUUCAAAUACUCCAUCAACAAAGGAUGCACAAGCAGCUCUUUUUCUAUCAAUUGCACAUGCUUCUUUAUCUGCUCAGAGUUAGGUUCACAAUAAAAAAGGAAGUACGGUGGGACCAUGAGAGUCAGUGAGGUGUUUGAACCUAUAAAAACUACCUCAAAUGAGACAAUUACUACGGCAACGACUCAGAGAAUUUUUCAAGGAGGUGCAAUUUAACUUAAUAGAAGAAUAUUACAGAAAAAAGAGUAAGACCCUACGAAUUACCUCAAUGAAAGUGUUUUGUGUGCUUCUUUAUCUGCUCAGAGUUAGGUUCACAAUAAAAAAGGAAGUACGGUGGGACCAUGAGAGUCAGUGAGGUGUUUGAACCUAUAAAAACUACCUCAAAUGAGACAAUUACUACGGCAACGACUCAGAGAAUUUUUCAAGGAGGUGCAAUUUAACUUAAUAGAAGAAUAUUACAGAAAAAAGAGUAAGACCCUACGAAUUACCUCAAUGAAAGUGUUUUCAUGUGCACUGAGAUUAACAUCAGAUGCAGAAUUUUUUUCAGCCACAGAUUUCUACAAAGUAAUCAAGACAAAUAAAAGAUUAUAUAAAGAAAAAAGUGACCGCUAAUAUACAAUUAAUUAAAGAGAUAAAAAGUGAACAUAAAAGAUAAAAGUACUAGAUCCUCUUUCAAACUAAUAUAAAGUUUAACCAACUUUAGUGCAAACUUCCAUUGGUUGAAACUGCGGUCUUGUAUAAAGCCGAACCUACAUUUUAGGAGCAUGAAAAUAAUCUGAUCUCUGGAGUUUUCAAGAAACUACAUUACUAGAACAUACAUAGACCAGAGUGGGAAAGAAUAUCAAAUUAAACGAUUAUCUGUCCUUGUACCUAAUCUCCAGACGAUCAACUUUUGAUAGCAGCCUUUUGUUCUCUUCGUCAGCCUUUUUUACUUCAUAGUAUCCACCUUGUCCUUUGGCUCUAGUUUUUUGCCAUAAGUUGUCGCAGCAGCGAAAGACCUAUAUACAUUUUUAUAUGCUUUUAUGAUCUUCAUCGUAAACUCAGACUUCGCUUCAUUGGGAGGGAAUACAUGUUUAAAUGGACAGUCAUGGCACCUUACGCCAUGAGAUUUACAGAGAACACAUGAAACAUCUUUUGUACCUCGACGUACAGAUUGAUUUCCUUAUAAUGUUCAAGGAGGGGUUAGGUGAAAUUGUGGAGCACAUUCGGCUUCAUGAAGUAGAAUGCAAAUUGGUGAAGCUUAAGCCUGGUGAAAUAACUUCUGUGAUAGAUGAAGUACAAGGUAUCAUUAGUCAGUUUCCUGCUGUCAAGGUAUUCCCACUAUUGCUUAGGGUGAGUUUCAGUCCAGUGAAGCGUUCUGAGAAAAAUAUAAAAUCAACAGAUGACCAGGUUAUUGGAUCAGUAGACGCUCAGGUUUUAGCCUGGAAAGACCUGUUGGAGGACAUUUGCGAUGAGGACUGUUGAGCUUUUAGUUGCUGUUCAAAAGUUUUGCUUUCUGAGAGGAACUCCUGCACUGUCCAUUCCUAUUUUCCAAGCAUUAUUAAAUAGUAAAGUUGUCUUGAGUAAAACUGUUCGUGAAUGGUCAAAUUUUGAUAAAGAAAUUCGAGGGAAGGAAUGAAACAAUGCUAGUUAUGGCACCAUAUUUUGCAUGUCUUAGGCAAGUGGAGAAGAUUGUGGCUUCGUCUAUGGCUUUGUCCUCGAGUGCUGAGUAGUGUAGAUAGAUAUUUUGUUACAUAUGUACAUUGGUCUAUCUUGGAUCAUGAUGAAAAUAUUAGCUUGGGUAAAGUUGGAUCCUUCAGUCUUGGAACUGUUAGCAGAUAAGAUCAGAUCAAUAUGAAAGUAUUAGCUUCGGUCGAGUUGAUUUCUUUCUUGUUCUCUGUUGAACUUGAAAACUUUUUACAGGUCUUAAUCAUAGCUUCUCAAAUUCAUUA